AAACAAAGGUGUGUACUCUCC
rnacentral:miRNA from 1 species